rnacentral:rRNA from 1 species
GAUGAACGCUGGCGGCGUGCCUAAUACAUGCAAGUCGAGCGAACAGACGAGGAGCUUGCUCCUCUGACGUUAGCGGCGGACGGGUGAGUAACACGUGGAUAACCUACCUAUAAGACUGGGAUAACUUCGGGAAACCGGAGCUAAUACCGGAUAAUAUAUUGAACCGCAUGGUUCAAUAGUGAAAGACGGUUUUGCUGUCACUUAUAGAUGGAUCCGCGCCGCAUUAGCUAGUUGGUAAGGUAACGGCUUACCAAGGCGACGAUGCGUAGCCGACCUGAGAGGGUGAUCGGCCGCACUGGAACUGAGACACGGUCCAGACUCCUACGGGAGGCAGCAGUAGGGAAUCUUCCGCAAUGGGCGAAAGCCUGACGGAGCAACGCCGCGUGAGUGAUGAAGGUCUUCGGAUCGUAAAACUCUGCUAUUAGGGAAGAACAAAUGUGUAAGUAACUAUGCACGUCUUGACGGUACCUAAUCAGAAAGCCACGGCUAACUACGUG